AGCCUAACACAUGCAAGUCGAACGGCAGCACAGGAGAACUUGCUCUCUGGGUGGCGAGUGGCGGACGGGUGAGGAAUACAUCGGAAUCUACUUUUUCGUGGGGGAUAACGUAGGAAACUUACGCUAAUACCGCAUACGACCUACGGGUGAAAGCAGGGGAUCUUCGGACCUUGCGCGAUUGAAUGAGCCGAUGUCGGAUUAGCUAGUUGGCGGGGUAAAGGCCCACCAAGGCGACGAUCCGUAGCUGGUCUGAGAGGAUGAUCGGCCACACUGGAACUGAGACACGGUCCAGACUCCUACGGGAGGCAGCAGUGGGGAAUAUUGGACAAUGGGCGCAAGCCUGAUCCAGCCAUACCGCGUGGGUGAAGAAGGCCUUCGGGUUGUAAAGCCCUUUUGUUGGGAAAGAAAUCCAGCUGGCUAAUACCCGGUUGGGAUGACGGUACCCAAAGAAUAAGCACCGGCUAACUUCGUGCCAGCAGCCGCGGUAAUACGAAGGGUGCAAGCGUUACUCGGAAUUACUGGGCGUUAAAGCGUGCGUAGGUGGUCCGUUUAAGU
rnacentral:rRNA from 1 species